rnacentral:rRNA from 1 species
GACGAACGCUGGCGGCGUGCCUAAUACAUGCAAGUAGAACGCUGAAGGAGGAGCUUGCUUCUCUGGAUGAGUUGCGAACGGGUGAGUAACGCGUAGGUAACCUGCCUGGUAGCGGGGGAUAACUAUUGGAAACGAUAGCUAAUACCGCAUAAGAGUAGAUGUUGCAUGACAUUUGCUUAAAAGGUGUAAUUGCAUCACUACCAGAUGGACCUGCGUUGUAUUAGCUAGUUGGUGGGGUAACGGCUUACCAAGGCGACGAUACAUAGCCGACCUGAGAGGGUGAUCGGCCACACUGGGACUGAGACACGGCCCAGACUCCUACGGGAGGCAGCAGUAGGGAAUCUUCGGCAAUGGACGGAAGUCUGACCGAGCAACGCCGCGUGAGUGAAGAAGGUUUUCGGAUCGUAAAGCUCUGUUGUAAGAGAAGAACGAGUGUGAGAGUGGAAAGUUCACACUGUGACGGUACCUUACCAGAAAGGGACGGCUAACUACGUG